UACGGAGGGAGCUAACGUUGUUCGGAAUUACUGGGCGUAAAGCGCACGUAGGCGGCUUUUUAAGUCAGGGGUGAAAUCCCGGAGCUCAACUCCGGAACUGCCCUUGAAACUGGGAAGCUAGAAUCUUGGAGAGGCGAGUGGAAUUCCGAGUGUAGAGGUGAAAUUCGUAGAUAUUCGGAAGAACACCAGUGGCGAAGGCGACUCGCUGGACAAGUAUUGACGCUGAGGUGCGAAAGCGUGGGGAGCAAACAGG
rnacentral:rRNA from 1 species